GUAGUUUUUCCGCAGUUCGUCUUUCCCUCCUCCCCUCUCGCAGGGUCCGCGGCCGCCAUGGCAUGUUAGAGGCAGCAGUGCCUGCGGCAGCGUUGGCCUUUGCAGCGGUGGCAGCAGCACCAGGCUCUGCAGCGGCAACUCCCAGCGGCUUAAGCCAUGGUGCUUCUCACAGCCUCCAGCAGCAGCAUUGCUGUAACCCACAAAGACACCUUCGAAUUAAGUACAUUCCUGGAUUGCAGCAAAGCCCCCCAACAUGACCGAGAUGAGCUUCCUGAGCAGCGAGGUGUUGAUGGGGGACUUGAUGUCCCCCUUCUACCAGUCGGGUUUGGGGGCUGAAGAAAGCCUAGAUCUCUUAGAUGAUUAUCUGGAGGUGGCCAAGCACUUCAAACCUCAUGGGUUCUCCAGUGACAAGGCUAAGGCGGGCUCCUCCGAAUGGCUGGCUGUGGAUGGGUUGGUCAGUGCCUCCAACAAUGGCAAGGAGGAUGCCUUCUCUGGGACAGAUUGGAUGUUGGAGAAAAUGGAUCUGAAGGAGUUUGACUUUGAUGCCCUGUUGGGUAUGGAUGACCUGGAAACCAUGCCAGAUGAGCUUUUGGCCAUGUUGGAUGACACGUGUGAUCUCUUUGCCCCCCUAGUCCAGGAGACUAAUAAGGAGCCCCCCCCAGACAGUGAACCCAAUUGGCCAUCUCCCAGAAAGUUUAACAAAAACCGAUCAGGUUGCCCCCUUCACCUUCUUGCAACCUCUUCCCUUCUCCCCAGGGGUUCUGUCCCCUACUCCAGAUCAUUCCUUUAGUUUAGAGCUGGGCAGCACAGUGGAUAUCUCUGAAGGAGAUAGAAAGCCAGACUCUACUGCUUAAUUACUAUGAUUCCUCAGUGUAAAGGAGGAAGACACCCCUCAGAUAAUGACAGUGGCUUCUGUAUGAGCCCAGAGUCCUAGAGCAUAGCCCCUCUACCUCCAGGGGCUCUCCAAAUAGGAGCCUGCCAUCUCCAGGUGUCCUCUGUGGCUCUGUCUGCCCUAAACCUUAUGAUCCUCCUGGAGAGAAAAUAGCAGCAACAAAAGUAAAGGGUGAGAAGCUAGAUAAGAAGCUGAAAAAAAUGGAGCAAAACAAGACUGCAGCCACUAGGUACUGCCAGAAGAAGAGAGCAGAGCAGGAAGCCCUUGCUGGUGAAUGCAGAGAACUGGAAAAGAAGAACGAGGCUCUGAAAGAGAAGGCAGGUUCCCUGGCCAAGGAGAUCCAGUACCUGAAAGAUUUGAUUGAAGAGGUCCGCAAAGCAAGGGGGAAGAAAAGGGUCCCCUAGUUAGGGCAGUCAGGAGUGUUGUGUGCUUGUACAUAGUCUCCAGUGCUGAAGCUGUGUGUUACAAUAAAUUAUUUUGUAGUGGAAAAAACAAAAACAAAACAAAACAAAACAAAAAAAUGUCGUAAGGUUAAUAAUGGCUUUAUAGGAAGUGCCUUGUUGGGGCUGCCAUAACAAAUACCACAGACUGGGUGAUUUAAACCACAGAAAUUUAUUGUCUCACAGUUCUGGAGGCUGGAUAUCCCAGAUCAAGGUGUCAGCAGGGUUCAUUUUUCCUGAGGCCUCUCUCCUGUGCUUGCAGAUGGCCACCUUUUUGCUGUGUUCUUCCAUGGCCUUCCCUUUGUCUGAAUAUCCCUACUAU